UGGGGAAUUUUGCACAAUGGGGGAAACCCUGAUGCAGCGACGCCGCGUGAUUUAGAAGGCCUUCGGGUUGUAAAAAUCUUUUCUAUGGGAAGAACAUGACAGUACCAUAGGAAUAAGGACCGGCUAAUUACGUGCCAGCAGCCGCGGUAAUACGUAAGGUCCGAGCGUUGUCCGGAAUCAUUGGGCGUAAAGGGUACGUAGGCGGGUAAGCAAGUUAGAAGUGAAAUCCUAUAGCUCAACUAUAGUAAGCUUUUAAAACUGCUCAUCUUGAGGUAUGGAAGGGAAAGUGGAAUUCCUAGUGUAGCGGUGAAAUGCGCAGAUAUUAGGAGGAAUACCGGUGGCGAAGGCGACUUUCUGGCCAUAACCUGACGCGGAGGUACGAAAGCGUGGGUAGCAAACAGG
rnacentral:rRNA from 1 species